rnacentral:rRNA from 1 species
UUAAGCGACUAAGCGUACACGGUGGAUGCCCUGGCAGUCAGAGGCGAUGAAGGACGUGCUAAUCUGCGAUAAGCGUCGGUGAGGUGAUAUGAACCGUUAUAACCGGCGAUUUCCGAAUGGGGAAACCCAGUGUGUUUCGACACACUAUCAUUAACUGAAUCCAUAGGUUAAUGAGGCGAACCGGGGGAACUGAAACAUCUAAGUACCCCGAGGAAAAGAAAUCAACCGAGAUUCCCCCAGUAGCGGCGAGCGAACGGGGAGGAGCCCAGAGCCUGAAUCAGUGUGUGUGUUAGUGGAAGCGUCUGGAAAGGCGCGCGAUACAGGGUGACAGCCCCGUACACAAAAAUGCACAUAUUGUGAGCUCGAUGAGUAGGGCGGGACACGUGGUAUCCUGUCUGAAUAUGGGGGGACCAUCCUCCAAGGCUAAAUACUCCUGACUGACCGAUAGUGAACCAGUACCGUGAGGGAAAGGCGAAAAGAACCCCGGCGAGGGGAGUGAAAAAGAACCUGAAACCGUGUACGUACAAGCAGUGGGAGCCUCUUUAUGGGGUGACUGCGUACCUUUUGUAUAAUGGGUCAGCGACUUAUAUUCUGUAGCAAGGUUAACCGAAUAGGGGAGCCGAAGGGAAACCGAGUCUUAACUGGGCGUUAAGUUGCAGGGUAUAGACCCGAAACCCGGUGAUCUAGCCAUGGGCAGGUUGAAGGUUGGGUAACACUAACUGGAGGACCGAACCGACUAAUGUUGAAAAAUUAGCGGAUGACUUGUGGCUGGGGGUGAAAGGCCAAUCAAACCGGGAGAUAGCUGGUUCUCCCCGAAAGCUAUUUAGGUAGCGCCUCGUGAAUUCAUCUCCGGGGGUAGAGCACUGUUUCGGCAAGGGGGUCAUCCCGACUUACCAACCCGAUGCAAACUGCGAAUACCGGAGAAUGUUAUCACGGGAGACACACGGCGGGUGCUAACGUCCGUCGUGAAGAGGGAAACAACCCAGACCGCCAGCUAAGGUCCCAAAGUCAUGGUUAAGUGGGAAACGAUGUGGGAAGGCCCAGACAGCCAGGAUGUUGGCUUAGAAGCAGCCAUCAUUUAAAGAAAGCGUAAUAGCUCACUGGUCGAGUCGGCCUGCGCGGAAGAUGUAACGGGGCUAAACCAUGCACCGAAGCUGCGGCAGCGACACUAUGUGUUGUUGGGUAGGGGAGCGUUCUGUAAGCCUGUGAAGGUGGCCUGUGAGGGUUGCUGGAGGUAUCAGAAGUGCGAAUGCUGACAUAAGUAACGAUAAAGCGGGUGAAAAGCCCGCUCGCCGGAAGACCAAGGGUUCCUGUCCAACGUUAAUCGGGGCAGGGUGAGUCGACCCCUAAGGCGAGGCCGAAAGGCGUAGUCGAUGGGAAACAGGUUAAUAUUCCUGUACUUGGUGUUACUGCGAAGGGGGGACGGAGAAGGCUAUGUUGGCCGGGCGACGGUUGUCCCGGUUUAAGCGUGUAGGCUGGUUUUCCAGGCAAAUCCGGAAAACCAAGGCUGAGGCGUGAUGACGAGGCACUACGGUGCUGAAGCGACAAAUGCCCUGCUUCCAGGAAAAGCCUCUAAGCAUCAGGUAACAUCAAAUCGUACCCCAAACCGACACAGGUGGUCAGGUAGAGAAUACCAAGGCGCUUGAGAGAACUCGGGUGAAGGAACUAGGCAAAAUGGUGCCGUAACUUCGGGAGAAGGCACGCUGAUAUGUAGGUGAAGCGACUUGCUCGUGGAGCUGAAAUCAGUCGAAGAUACCAGCUGGCUGCAACUGUUUAUUAAAAACACAGCACUGUGCAAACACGAAAGUGGACGUAUACGGUGUGACGCCUGCCCGGUGCCGGAAGGUUAAUUGAUGGGGUUAGCGGUAACGCGAAGCUCUUGAUCGAAGCCCCGGUAAACGGCGGCCGUAACUAUAACGGUCCUAAGGUAGCGAAAUUCCUUGUCGGGUAAGUUCCGACCUGCACGAAUGGCGUAAUGAUGGCCAGGCUGUCUCCACCCGAGACUCAGUGAAAUUGAAUUCGCUGUGAAGAUGCAGUGUACCCGCGGCAAGACGGAAAGACCCCGUGAACCUUUACUAUAGCUUGACACUGAACAUUGAGCCUUGAUGUGUAGGAUAGGUGGGAGGCUUUGAAGUGUGGACGCCAGUCUGCAUGGAGCCGACCUUGAAAUACCACCCUUUAAUGUUUGAUGUUCUAACGUUGGCCCGUAAUCCGGGUUGCGGACAGUGUCUGGUGGGUAGUUUGACUGGGGCGGUCUCCUCCUAAAGAGUAACGGAGGAGCACGAAGGUUGGCUAAUCCUGGUCGGACAUCAGGAGGUUAGUGCAAUGGCAUAAGCCAGCUUGACUGCGAGCGUGACGGCGCGAGCAGGUGCGAAAGCAGGUCAUAGUGAUCCGGUGGUUCUGAAUGGAAGGGCCAUCGCUCAACGGAUAAAAGGUACUCCGGGGAUAACAGGCUGAUACCGCCCAAGAGUUCAUAUCGACGGCGGUGUUUGGCACCUCGAUGUCGGCUCAUCACAUCCUGGGGCUGAAGUAGGUCCCAAGGGUAUGGCUGUUCGCCAUUUAAAGUGGUACGCGAGCUGGGUUUAGAACGUCGUGAGACAGUUCGGUCCCUAUCUGCCGUGGGCGCUGGAGAACUGAGGGGGGCUGCUCUUAGUACGAGAGGACCGGAGUGGACGCAUCACUGGUGUUCGGGUUGUCAUGCCAAUGGCACUGCCCGGUAGCUAAAUGCGGAAGAGAUAAGUGCUGAAAGCAUCUAAGCACGAAACUUGCCCCGAGAUGAGUUCUCCCUGACUCCUUGAGAGUCCUGAAGGAACGUUGAAGACGACGACGUUGAUAGGCCGGGUGUGUAAGCGCAGCGAUGCGUUGAGCUAACCGGUACUAAUGAACCGUGAGGCUUAACCUU